rnacentral:rRNA from 1 species
GGUUAAGCGACUAAGCGUACACGGUGGAUGCCCUGGCAGUCAGAGGCGAUGAAGGACGUGCUAAUCUGCGAAAAGCGUCGGUAAGGUGAUAUGAACCGUUAUAGCCGGCGAUGUCCGAAUGGGGAAACCCAGUGCAAUUCGUUGCACUAUCGUUAACUGAAUACAUAGGUUAACGAGGCGAACCGGGGGAACUGAAACAUCUAAGUACCCCGAGGAAAAGAAAUCAACCGAGAUUCCCCCAGUAGCGGCGAGCGAACGGGGAGCAGCCCAGAGUCUGAAUCAGCUUGUGUGUUAGUGGAACGGUCUGGAAAGUCCGACGGUACAGGGUGAUAGUCCCGUACACCAAAAUGCACAGGCUGUGAACUCGAAGAGUAGGGCGGGACACGUGGUAUCCUGUCUGAAUAUGGGGGGACCAUCCUCCAAGGCUAAAUACUCCUGACUGACCGAUAGUGAACCAGUACCGUGAGGGAAAGGCGAAAAGAACCCCGGCGAGGGGAGUGAAAAAGAACCUGAAACCGUGUACGUACAAGCAGUGGGAGCACCUUCGGGUGUGACUGCGUACCUUUUGUAUAAUGGGUCAGCGACUUAUAUUCUGUAGCAAGGUUAACCGUAUAGGGGAGCCGCAGGGAAACCGAGUCUUAACUGGGCGUUAAGUUGCAGGGUAUAGACCCGAAACCCGGUGAUCUAGCCAUGGGCAGGUUGAAGGUUGGGUAACACUAACUGGAGGACCGAACCGACUAAUGUUGAAAAAUUAGCGGAUGACUUGUGGCUGGGGGUGAAAGGCCAAUCAAACCGGGAGAUAGCUGGUUCUCCCCGAAAGCUAUUUAGGUAGCGCCUCGUGAACUCAUCUUCGGGGGUAGAGCACUGUUUCGGCUAGGGGGUCAUCCCGACUUACCAACCCGAUGCAAACUACGAAUACCGAAGAAUGUUAUCACGGGAGACACACGGCGGGUGCUAACGUCCGUCGUGAAGAGGGAAACAACCCAGACCGCCAGCUAAGGUCCCAAAGUCAUGGUUAAGUGGGAAACGAUGUGGGAAGGCACAGACAGCCAGGAUGUUGGCUUAGAAGCAGCCAUCAUUUAAAGAAAGCGUAAUAGCUCACUGGUCGAGUCGGCCUGCGCGGAAGAUGUAACGGGGCUAAACCAUGCACCGAAGCUGCGGCAGCGACACUAUGUGUUGUUGGGUAGGGGAGCGUUCUGUAAGCCUGCGAAGGUGUGCUGUGAGGCAUGCUGGAGGUAUCAGAAGUGCGAAUGCUGACAUAAGUAACGAUAAAGCGGGUGAAAAGCCCGCUCGCCGGAAGACCAAGGGUUCCUGUCCAACGUUAAUCGGGGCAGGGUGAGUCGACCCCUAAGGCGAGGCCGAAAGGCGUAGUCGAUGGGAAACAGGUUAAUAUUCCUGUACUUGGUGUUACUGCGAAGGGGGGACGGAGAAGGCUAUGUUAGCCGGGCGACGGUUGUCCCGGUUUAAGCAUGUAGGCUGAUUAUCCAGGCAAAUCCGGAUAAUCAAGGCUGAGGUGUGAUGACGAGGCACUACGGUGCUGAAGUAACAAAUGCCCUGCUUCCAGGAAAAGCCUCUAAGCAUCAGGUAACAUUAAAUCGUACCCCAAACCGACACAGGUGGUCAGGUAGAGAAUACCAAGGCGCUUGAGAGAACUCGGGUGAAGGAACUAGGCAAAAUGGUGCCGUAACUUCGGGAGAAGGCACGCUGGUGUGUAGGUGAAGUCCCUGCGGAUGGAGCUGAGACCAGUCGAAGAUACCAGCUGGCUGCAACUGUUUAUUAAAAACACAGCACUGUGCAAACACGAAAGUGGACGUAUACGGUGUGACGCCUGCCCGGUGCCGGAAGGUUAAUUGAUGGGGUUAUCCGUAAGGAGAAGCUCUUGAUCGAAGCCCCGGUAAACGGCGGCCGUAACUAUAACGGUCCUAAGGUAGCGAAAUUCCUUGUCGGGUAAGUUCCGACCUGCACGAAUGGCGUAAUGAUGGCCAGGCUGUCUCCACCCGAGACUCAGUGAAAUUGAACUCGCUGUGAAGAUGCAGUGUACCCGCGGCAAGACGGAAAGACCCCGUGAACCUUUACUAUAGCUUGACACUGAACAUUGAGCCUUGAUGUGUAGGAUAGGUGGGAGGCUUUGAAGCGUGGACGCCAGUCUGCGUGGAGCCAACCUUGAAAUACCACCCUUUAAUGUUUGAUGUUCUAACGUUGGCCCCUGACCGGGGUUGCGGACAGUGUCUGGUGGGUAGUUUGACUGGGGCGGUCUCCUCCCAAAGCGUAACGGAGGAGCACGAAGGUUAGCUAAUCCUGGUCGGACAUCAGGAGGUUAGUGCAAUGGCAUAAGCUAGCUUGACUGCGAGCGUGACGGCGCGAGCAGGUGCGAAAGCAGGUCAUAGUGAUCCGGUGGUUCUGAAUGGAAGGGCCAUCGCUCAACGGAUAAAAGGUACUCCGGGGAUAACAGGCUGAUACCGCCCAAGAGUUCAUAUCGACGGCGGUGUUUGGCACCUCGAUGUCGGCUCAUCACAUCCUGGGGCUGAAGUAGGUCCCAAGGGUAUGGCUGUUCGCCAUUUAAAGUGGUACGCGAGCUGGGUUUAGAACGUCGUGAGACAGUUCGGUCCCUAUCUGCCGUGGGCGCUGGAGAAUUGAGGGGGGCUGCUCCUAGUACGAGAGGACCGGAGUGGACGCAUCACUGGUGUUCGGGUUGUCAUGCCAAUGGCACUGCCCGGUAGCUAAAUGCGGAAGAGAUAAGUGCUGAAAGCAUCUAAGCACGAAACUUGCCCCGAGAUGAGUUCUCCCUGAGACUUUAAGUCUCCUGAAGGAACGUUAAAGACGAUGACGUUGAUAGGCCGGGUGUGUAAGCGCAGCGAUGCGUUGAGCUAACCGGUACUAAUGAACCGUGAGGCUUAACCUU